rnacentral:rRNA from 1 species
CCAAUAGCGUAUAUUAAAGUUGUUGCAGUUAAAAAGCUCGUAGUUGAAUUUCGGGGUCAGCAGGUUGGUCGUGCCUCUGGUACGCACUGGUUUCGCUGAUUCCUCCUUUCUGAAGAACUGUAAUGUCAUUAAUUUGGUGUUGCAGGGAAACGGGACUGUUACUUUGAAAAAAUUAGAGUGUUUAAAGCAAGCUAACGCUUGAAUACAUUAGCAUGGAAUAAUGAAAUAGGACGUUUGAUCCUAUUUUGUUGGUUUCUAGGAUUGACGUAAUGAUUAAUAGGGAUAGUUGGGGGCAUUAGUAUUCAAUUGUCAGAGGUGAAAUUCUUGGAUUUAUUGAAGACUAACUACUGCGAAAGCAUUUGCCAAGGAUGUUUUCAUUAAUCAAGAACGAAAGUUAGGGGAUCGAAGACGAUCAGAUACCGUCGUAGUCUUAACCAUAAACUAUGCCGACUAGGGAUCGGAUGAUGUUAAUUUUUUAAUGACUCAUUCGGCGCCUUACG